rnacentral:tRNA from 1 species
GAGAGUAUAGCUCAGUGGUAGAACACAUGCUUAGCAUGCAUGAGGUCCUGGGUUCAAAUCCCCAGUACUUCCA